rnacentral:rRNA from 1 species
UUUAUGGAGAGUUUGAUCCUGGCUCAGGAUGAACGCUGGCGGCGUGCCUAAUACAUGCAAGUCGAGCGAACGGACGAGAAGCUUGCUUCUCUGAUGUUAGCGGCGGACGGGUGAGUAACACGUGGAUAACCUACCUAUAAGACUGGGAUAACUUCGGGAAACCGGAGCUAAUACCGGAUAAUAUUUUGAACCGCAUGGUUCAAAAGCGAAAGACGGUCUU